AUGCAGUGGGAUGAAGCAAUCCAUGGGUCUUAAGAAAAGAUAGGCAAGUUGGAGUGAAGGAGGACUUUUAAAUGCCCUCCUCUAUUAUGUUGCUCGGAUUUGUUCAAAAAUGUCGAUAGAUGCAUGUUGGAUUCUUCAAAAUCAAUGCGAUAUUGACAACAUUUUUGGAGAGUCUGAGCAACAUAACUGCUCCAUAUACAAUUUCAAGUUUGCUCAUACUUGAGCCAAAUUCUGUGUGGAUAUAUGAUGAUAAAAAUAGCAAAGGAUGUUGGCAAAAGGAUGGCAAACCGGCAAGUCACAAAACGGCAAUUAUGGACUCCGUUUUGGAGUCUU
rnacentral:sRNA from 1 species